GUAAGGAAUAUUGGUCAAUGGACGAAAGUCUGAACCAGCCAUGCCGCGUGAAGGAUGAAGGCCCUCUGGGUUGUAAACUUCUUUUAUCUGGGACGAAAAAAGGGUAUUCUUACUCACUUGACGGUACCAGAGGAAUAAGCACCGGCUAACUCCGUGCCAGCAGCCGCGGUAAUACGGAGGGUGCACGCGUUAUCCGGAUUCACUGGGUUUAAAGGGUGCGUAGGUGGGUAUUUAAGUCAGUGGUGAAAUCUCCGAGCUUAACUCGGAAACUGCCAUUGAGACUAUUUACCUUGAAUGCCCUGGAGGGAAGCUGAAUAUGUCAUGUAGCGGUGAAAUGCUUAGAUAUGACAUAGAACACCAAUUGCGAAGGCAGCUUACUACGGGGUGAUUGACACUGAGGCACGAAAGCGUGGGGAGCAAACAGGAUUAGAUACCCUAGUAGUCC
rnacentral:rRNA from 1 species